UACGGAGGGUGCAAGCGUUAUCCGGAUUCACUGGGUUUAAAGGGUGCGUAGGUGGUGAGGUAAGUCGGAUGUGAAAUCUCCGGGCUCAACCCGGAAAUGGCAUUGGAAACUACCUUGCUGGAGGAUUUGAGGGGGGAUUGGAAUACUUGGUGUAGCAGUGAAAUGCGUAGAUAUCAAGUGGAACACCAGUGGCGAAGGCGAAUCCCUGGAAAAUACCUGACACUGAGGCACGAAAGCUAGGGGAGCAAACAGG
rnacentral:rRNA from 1 species